CAUUGCGGCUCGGGAUCCUGAUCUCGGGCCACACCUGACUGAGGGUCGGUGAUAUCAUAAGAGCAAAUUGUAUUGAGCGACGUCCGACAUUCACUUGUCGAACGCGCAUCAAAUUCAAAGAAAGACUCGGAGAAGGCCGCCUCUCUCUGAAAGGCAAAAAGUCCAAAACGGACGGCACGAACGCCUCUAGUGUCGUCACGCUGGUCUGUCAGUCUCUCGAAAAAUCGGCAAAGUCCAAAACGGACGGCACGAACGUCUCUAGUGUCGUCACGCUGGUCUUCUGUCGAAAGAGAGUGAGAGGGGAGACUUGAACGGUCGUCGUGAGUACGUGUCUUUGUGUUUUAUUUGGAAAUAGAUCGCAAAGCAGUUGUCGGUGGAGUAACGGAACCCUCUCAGGAGGCAACCGAGAAAGAUCGCACUCUGCUUAAUCGCGGACUGGCCAGUGAAAACAAGACUCCGAAAGCGCGCAUCGUCUCGUCGUUCGGUUACGACUCCGUAAAAAUGAUAUUAUUGAUUGAUCGCGACCUCAGAUCAGGUGAGACUACCCGCUAAAUUUAAGCAUAUUAAUAAGCGGAGGAAAAGAAACUAACAAGGAUUCCCUGAGUAGCGGCGAGCGAAAAGGGAAAAGCCCAGCACCGAAUCUCGUACCGUG
rnacentral:rRNA from 4 species